rnacentral:misc_RNA from 1 species
GCCAUCACCAAUCUUUUAUCCACCACCAUUACACUCAAACACUCGCCAUUUCUUCUACUGAAACCCUCAACAAAACUCAGAAACCCUAAAAGGCCAACAAUUCGAGCUCAAUCUAAGAACGACGACUCAGUAGAUGGUCCAGAUCGUUUAAUCUCCGCCAUAACUUACUUCUACCCUUUCUUUGAUGGUGUUCAGUACGGUAAAUAUGUAAUCACACAGUUUGCUCCAAUACAAACACUUAUUCAACCUUUAGUACCAGCUAUAAGGGUUUUUAAGAGCUUUCCGCUUAACGGGUUGUUGGUUUUCUUUACACUCUACUUUAUUGUUGUAAGAAAUCCUAAUUUUAGUAGAUAUGUCAGGUUCAACACUAUGCAAGCUAUUGUUCUUGAUGUGCUUCUCAUUUUUCCUGAUUUGUUGGAGAGGAGUUUCAAUCCAAGUGAUGGGUUUGGGUUGGAUUUGAUGAUGAGCUUUGAUAGUACUGUGUUUUUGUUUCUUUUGGUAUCUUUGGUUUAUGGUACUUCGUCUUGCUUGUUGGGUCAGCUACCUAGAUUGCCUAUUGUUGCUGAAGCUGCUGAUAGGCAAGUGCUAUGAACUCGUAAUUUUACUUGUUUAUGAGGUUUCAUCCUCUUUGUACACUUAAUUAUGUUUUGCUUUAGCUGACAAUUAAUAUCUAUUUCGUUCCGAAAGUAAAUGUUUAUGCUCUUUAGAGCCUUGUUCAUGCAUAUCAUUUUGCUGUUUCUUAAUGUGGAUAUGUAUAUUCUUGUAAUGGCAUUUCGGUUUCUU